rnacentral:rRNA from 1 species
AUACGGAGGAUCCGAGCGUUAUCCGGAUUUAUUAGGUUUAAAGGGUGCGCAGGCGGAACUGUAAGUCACCGGUGAAAUCCUACAGCUUAACUGUAGAACUGCCGGUGAUACUGCGAUUCUUGAGUAUAGUUGAGGUAGGCGGAAUGUGUAGUGUAGCGGUGAAAUGCAUAGAUAUUACACAGAACACCGAUUGCGAAGGCAGCUUACUAAACUAUUACUGACGCUCAUGCACAAAAGCGUGGGGAGCGAACAGGAUUAGAUACCCGAGUAGUCC